rnacentral:rRNA from 1 species
UGAGUAACACGUAUCCAACCUGCCGUCUACUCUUGGACAGCCUUCUGAAAGGAAGAUUAAUACAAGAUGGCAUCAUGAGUCCGCAUGUUCACAUGAUUAAAGGUAUUCCGGUAGACGAUGGGGAUGCGUUCCAUUAGAUAGUAGGCGGGGUAACGGCCCACCUAGUCUUCGAUGGAUAGGGGUUCUGAGAAGAAGGUCCCCCACAUUGGAACUGAGACACGGUCCAA